rnacentral:rRNA from 1 species
AAGACCUUGCACUUUUGGAGCGGCCGAUGUCUGAUUAGCUAGUUGGUGGGGUAAUGGCCUACCAAAGCUUCGAUCAGUAGCUGGUCUGAGAGGACGGCCAGCCACACUGGGACUGAGACACGGCCCAGACUCCUACGGGAGGCAGCAGUGGGGAAUUUUGGACAAUGGGCGCAAGCCUGAUCCAGCCAUGCCGCGUGAGUGAAGAAGGCCUUCGGGUUGUAAAGCUCUUUCAGCCGGGAAGAAAAGGUUGCGAUUAAUAAUCGUAAUUUAUGACGGUACCGGAAGAAGAAGCACCGGCUAACUACGUGCCAGCAGCCGCGGUAAUACGUAGGGUGCGAGCGUUAAUCGGAAUUACUGGGCGUAAAGGGUGCGCAGGCGGUUUUGUAAGUCAGAUGUGAAAUCCCCGGGCUUAACCUGGGAACU